rnacentral:rRNA from 1 species
AUGAACGCUAGCUACAGGCUUAACACAUGCAAGUCGAGGGGCAGCAUGAACUUAGCUUGCUAAGUUUGAUGGCGACCGGCGCACGGGUGAGUAACACGUAUCCAACCUGCCGAUGACUCGGGGAUAGCCUUUCGAAAGAAAGAUUAAUACCCGAUGGCAUAGUUCUUCCGCAUGGUAGAACUAUUAAAGAAUUUCGGUCAUCGAUGGGGAUGCGUUCCAUUAGGUUGUUGGCGGGGUAACGGCCCACCAAGCCUUCGAUGGAUAGGGGUUCUGAGAGGAAGGUCCCCCACAUUGGAACUGAGACACGGUCCAAACUCCUACGGGAGGCAGCAGUGAGGAAUAUUGGUCAAUGGACGAGAGUCUGAACCAGCCAAGUAGCGUGAAGGAUGACUGCCCUAUGGGUUGUAAACUUCUUUUAUACGGGAAUAAAGUGAGGCACGUGUGCCUUUUUGUAUGUACCGUAUGAAUAAGGAUCGGCUAACUCCGUGCCAGCAGCCGCGGUAAUACGGAGGAUCCGAGCGUUAUCCGGAUUUAUUGGGUUUAAAGGGAGCGUAGGCGGACGCUUAAGUCAGUUGUGAAAGUUUGCGGCUCAACCGUAAAAUUGCAGUUGAUACUGGGUGUCUUGAGUACAGUAGAGGCAGGCGGAAUUCGUGGUGUAGCGGUGAAAUGCUUAGAUAUCACGAAGAACUCCGAUUGCGAAGGCAGCCUGCUGGACUGUAACUGACGCUGAUGCUCGAAAGUGUGGGUAUCAAACAGGAUUAGAUACCCUGGUAGUCCACGCCGUAAACGAUGAGUGCUAAGUGUUAGGGGGUUUCCGCCCCUUAGUGCUGCAGCUAACGCAUUAAGCACUCCGCCUGGGGAGUACGACCGCAAGGUUGAAACUCAAAGGAAUUGACGGGGGCCCGCACAAGCGGUGGAGUAUGUGGUUUAAUUCGACGCAACGCGAAGAACCUUACCAAGGCUUGACAUUGAUUGAACGCUCUAGAGAUAGAGAUUUCCCUUCGGGGACAAGAAAACAGGUGGUGCAUGGCUGUCGUCAGCUCGUGCCGUGAGGUGUCGGCUUAAGUGCCAUAACGAGCGCAACCCUUAUCGAUAGUUACCAUCAGGUGAUGCUGGGGACUCUGUCGAGACUGCCGUCGUAAGAUGUGAGGAAGGUGGGGAUGACGUCAAAUCAGCACGGCCCUUACGUCCGGGGCUACACACGUGUUACAAUGGGGGGUACAGAAGGCAGCUACACGGCGACGUGAUGCUAAUCCCGAAAGCCUCUCUCAGUUCGGAUUGGAGUCUGCAACCCGACUCCAUGAAGCUGGAUUCGCUAGUAAUCGCGCAUCAGCCACGGCGCGGUGAAUACGUUCCCGGGCCUUGUACACACCGCCCGUCACACCACGAAAGUCGGUUUUACCCGAAGCCGGUGAGCUAACUCGCAAGAGGAGCAGCCGUCUACGGUAGGGCCGAUGAUUGGGGUG